GACGAACGCUGGCGGCAUGCUUAACACAUGCAAGUCGAACGGACACUUCCUGCUUUUUUGGGGUGCUCGGGUUGCGACCGGGUGAGUAACCCGUGAGUAACCUGCCCCUCACUUUGGGUUAACUUCAUGACGCUGGGGCUAAUACCGGAUAGGAUCUCUCGCUGUUUGGUGGGGGUUGGUAAGUUUCGGUGGUUGGGGAUGUACGCGCGGCCCAUCGGAUUGUUGGUGGGGUAGUGGCUUACCAAGGCUUUGACGGGUAGCGGGGCUGCGCGGGUAACAGGACAAACUGGGCCGGAGAUACGGCCCAGACUCGUACGGGAGGCGACGGUGGAGAAGAUUGCACAGUGGGAGGAAGCCAGGUGUAGCGACGCCACGUGGGGGAUAACAGCCUGCGGGUAGUAAACCACAUUCGCCUGUGACGAGGCGUGAGUGACGGUAAUGGGUAAAGAAGCACCGGCUAACUACGUG
rnacentral:rRNA from 1 species